rnacentral:rRNA from 1 species
CCUACGGGAGGCUGCAGUGGGGAAUAUUGGACAAUGGGGGGAACCCUGAUCCAGCCAUGCCGCGUGUGUGAAGAAGGCCCUCGGGUUGUAAAGCACUUUCAGUGAGGAAGAACGCCUGGUGGUUAAUACCCAUCAGGAAAGACAUCACUCACAGAAGAAGCACCGGCUAACUCCGUGCCAGCAGCCGCGGUAAUACGGAGGGUGCGAGCGUUAAUCGGAAUUACUGGGCGUAAAGCGCGCGUAGGUGGCCUGAUAAGCCGGUUGUGAAAGCCCCGGGCUCAACCUGGGAACGGCAUCCGGAACUGUCAAGCUAGAGUGCAGGAGAGGAAGGUAGAAUUCCCGGUGUAGCGGUGAAAUGCGUAGAGAUCGGGAGGAAUACCAGUGGCGAAGGCGGCCUUCUGGACUGACACUGACACUGAGGUGCGAAAGCGUGGGUAGCAAACAGGAUUAGAUACCCGAGUAGUC